rnacentral:tRNA from 1 species
GGGCUCAUGGCGCAGUUGGAUAGCGCGCUUCCUUGACAUGGAAGAGGUCACAGGUUCAAGUCCUGUUGGGCCCACCA